UGGGAAUCUUCCGCAAUGGACGAAAGUCUGACGGAGCAACGCCGCGUGAGUGAAGAAGGUUUUCGGAUCGUAAAAACUCUGUCUUUUGGGGCGAACGUGAGUAUGGUGAACAAUCAUAGUCAGUGACGGUACCAAAGGAGGAAGCCACGGCUAACUACGUGCCAGCAGCCGCGGUAAUACGUAGGUGGCAAGCGUUGUCCGGAAUUAUUGGGCGUAAAGAGCGCGUAGGCGGGAUAGUCAGUCUGUUGUAAAAGUGCGGGGCUCAACCCCGUGAUGGCAAUGGAAACAGCUAUUCUUGAGUGCAGGAGAGGAAAGUGGAAUUCCCAGUGUAGCGGUGAAAUGCGUAGAUAUUGGGAGGAACACCAGUGGCGAAGGCGACUUUCUGGACUGUGUCUGACGCUGAGGCGCGAAAGCCAGGGGAGCGAACGGGGAUUAGAUACCCCCGGUAGUCCUGGCCGUAAACGAUGGGUACUAGGUGUGGGGGGUAUCGACCCCUUCCGUGCCGGAGUUAACGCAAUAAGUACCCCCGCCUGGGGAGUACGGUCGCAAGACUGAAACUCAAAUGAAUUGACGGGGUCAUAGCUGUUUCCUG
rnacentral:rRNA from 1 species